rnacentral:misc_RNA from 1 species
AAGUCAUAACAAGGUUUCUGUAGGUGAACCUGCAGAAGGAUCAUUAAAGAUUUUACUAGGCUUCGGCCAGAGAUGUACAGCCAUGAUCGUUUCGACGGUGCAUGGUACGGGUGCUCUGUAUCGCUAACACGGUACGGAGGGCCCUUCUUUAAUUUCCACACCAAGCUACGGAGAGCGUGACUUAUGUCUGCUUGUCCGGAAGGGAUGGAUGGUUUCGACCAUCUUUCCCGACCCAUUUCCAAACACUUAACUAUUUUGAAUGUUCAACCUAUUGUCUUCGGACAUGAAUAAUAUACAACUUUUGACAACGGAUCUCUUGGUUCUCC